rnacentral:rRNA from 1 species
AUUAAACGCUGGCGGCAUGCCUUACACAUGCAAGUCGAACGGCAGCACGGGGGCAACCCUGGUGGCGAGUGGCGGACGGGUGAGUAAUACAUCGGAACGUGCCCUGGAGUGGGGGAUAACGCAGCGAAAGCUACGCUAAUACCGCAUAUUCUGUGAGCAGGAAAGCAGGGGAUCGCAAGACCUUGCGCUUUGGGAGCGGCCGAUGUCGGAUUAGCUAGUUGGUGGGGUAAAGGCCUACCAAGGCGACGAUCCGUAGCGGGUCUGAGAGGAUGAUCCGCCACACUGGGACUGAGACACGGCCCAGACUCCUACGGGAGGCAGCAGUGGGGAAUUUUGGACAAUGGGCGCAAGCCUGAUCCAGCCAUGCCGCGUGAGUGAAGAAGGCCU